CUUAAGCAUAUCAAUAAGCGGAGGAAAAGAAACCAACAGGGAUUGCCUCAGUAACGGCGAGUGAAGCGGCAAUAGCUCAAAUUUGAAAUCUGGCUCUUUUAGGGUCCGAGUUGUAAUUUGUAGAGGAUGUUUCGGCUUAUGCCCUGGUCUAAGUUCCUUGGAACAGGACGUCACAGAGGGUGAGAAUCCCGUUUGUGGCCGGUGGCUUCCGCCAUGUGAAACUCCUUCGACGAGUCGAGUUGUUUGGGAAUGCAGCUCUAAAUGGGAGGUAAAUUUCUUCUAAAGCUAAAUAUUGGCCAGAGACCGAUAGCGCACAAGUAGAGUGAUCGAAAGAUGAAAAGCACUUUGGAAAGAGAGUUAAAAAGUACGUGAAAUUGUUGAAAGGGAAGCGCUUGCGACUAGACUUGCCCGCAGUUGCUCAACCAGCCCUUCGGCUGGUGUACUCUUCUGUGGUCAGGCCAGCAUCAGUUUAGGUGGUUGGAUAAAGGCCUUAGGAAUGUAGCUCUCUUCGGAGAGUGUUAUAGCCUUUGGUGCAAUACAGCCUACCUGGACUGAGGACCGCGCUUCGGCUAGGAUGCUGGCGUAAUGGUCGUAAGCGGCCCGUCUUGAAACACGGACCAAGGAGUCUAACAUCUAUGCGAGUGUUUGGGUGUCAAACCCGUGCGCGUAAUGAAAGUGAACGGAGGUGGGAACCUUUGGGUGCACCAUCGACCGAUCCUGAUGUCUUCGGAUGGAUUUGAGUAAGAGCAUAGCUGUUGGGACCCGAAAGAUGGUGAACUAUGCCUGGAUAGGGUGAAGCCAGAGGAAACUCUGGUGGAGGCUCGCAGCGGUUCUGACGUGCAAAUCGAUCGUCAAAUCA
rnacentral:rRNA from 1 species